GUAUCGAUGCAUAGUAACCUUAGUUGUUGCAUUCCAUUUUCUGGCCAAAUAAGAGCACGUAGUUGCUGACAUCCCAUCAGGAAGAUUCGUCCAAGUUUUUCCACUUGAACAUCCUUUUUCAGGUUUAGAGUUUUCACUGCUGUGCAUGAGAGGUCCAACUCCUCAAGAUUUGGCAGGGUUCCAAGCAGUGUGAAGUUCACCAGUUUUCCACAGCCCGCCAAGGAGACUCGUGAUAUCUUAGCUGUAUUAUUGCCAUCCUUCCCAGCUCUGGCAUCUAAACUGAAUGACUCAAGUGAUGCUGGUAUUCCUUCAGGGCCAAUAUGAUCCAACCCAACACAGCCAUCUAGGAUUAAAGUUCUAAGCCGAGUUGCAGAAGAUAAGCUUGGCAAAACUUGUAUUGUACUAUUACCAGAUAGAUCGAGGAGCUCCAACAUUACCAUAUCAGUGAACUCAUCUUUUUUUAGUGUCUCCCAAGAGCUGGUAGGCUCAAUUACUCGAAGCUUGCGAAGGUUCCGUAGUUGUCUCCAAGCAAGGUGGCUGUGCCCAAUCCUUCCCUUCUUUAUAUGAAUCUCUCUAAUGUUUGAUGCCAUCUGCUCUGUAAGAUCUUGUGACAUAUCAAUGUCCCAAUCUGUAUGGCUCAUAUCUAGCACCCAUAGGCUGUGAAAAAAUUCCAUUAUUGGUCUCCCUUGCUUGUCCUCUUCUCGCCCUUGAUCUCCACAGUGGUCUAAUCCAAGAAAUCUUAGGCUUCGGCAACAACGGAAAGGAGGUGAAUGAAAGCUGAAAUUGCAUCCAGAGAGUUUCAACACACGUAGUCUCUCCAAUUUCUGAAACAUUUCAUGUGGUAAAGUUGUGAGUGUUCUGCCUUUCGAAACAAGGAACAAUGAUGUUAAAUUCUGAGAUACUGCUGUUAAGUUUUGUGUUUCUCCACUGUCAGAUGUACAGGUGACUGACUUCCAAACAUCUCUGUGUUCAUAACCCUCAAACUUUAUUGGACAAGAGGACAGUUCCAUUCUUUGCACUUGUUUAUGGAGAGCAGCGGAAACCUCCCAGGAUUCAUCAUCUAACUGACCUUGUUGUCCCAUGAUGCCAUCACAAACCCAAUAGUUUGAAGCAUGGGUAGCCCAGUUGUAGUCCAUGGUACUGCCACCCAUUUCAUGCAACCACAAGAUAUAUGUGAUGCACUUGGCAGUAAUUUGUGGGGUGAUGCUCUGCUUAUGUUGCAUGUGCUUGAUAACUUCUGUAGCCUCUUCCAAUAUUAAUUGAGCCGUGUCACCGUCAAACGACCAAUUAAUAUUCCUAUAGAUACAGAGAUGUGAAUUGUCCACUUUUUCUUUUGUUUCUGGGUGGAGAUGAAGUAUUCCAGUAAAGGUCCACAUUAUCUUAGUGAUGCCAAACAAUGGUUGUGGAAUGCCAAAAUCAGCCAAGUCAACCAUAUCAGUGCUUCCAUUGUGAAAGAUAACUAAAAAUCUGUAUUGUGAUAAUGAUCCAAGUAUCGUUCUCCCAAUGUCUUCUAUCUCAGCUCGAGAAUCUUCAUCUACCCCACUGAAAUCAUCCUCGUCAUCCUCCCUAUCAAAAGUAACCAUUACACUCUGAGGAAGCUUGAGUUUAUCAGCAAUUAUCUUCUGGAGUGCCCUUCGGCUCUUCCAUCUGGAGCAGUCAAUGUGGAUGAUCCUAUCAAACUUCUUCGUCAGUGAUGGCGGAGGGUCCUCUGCUAUCGCUGUGAGCACAGCAGAAGCAGCCAGUCCAUCCCAUCCAUCGAAGUAGAUGGUCUUGGGUGCACUCCUUCCUGUAUCCUCCAAGUAAGGGAUUAUUGCUUGGACCGCCUCCUUGAUCCCAUACACGCCAAGGUUCUGCAUUAAAUUAAAUUAUUAUUUGACGCCAAUUAAUUGUAGUUCACUUGAGAGUACACAAAUGUAGCUCUCACUACGGGGAAACACACGAUUUGCCUAGAGGAAGCAUGUUUGCCGAGAGUCAUAUGUCGGGCUCUCGGCAAAACAAAAAUUUGGCGAGAGGAGCUCUCGGCAAACAAAAGCUCUCGGCAUACUAGUCUUUGCCGAGAGCAAGGCUCUCGGCAUAGAAAAACCCUUGGCAUUACUGUGUCUUUGCCGAGAGUCUAACCCUAGCUCUCGACAAAGGCCCUGGCUGGGCAACACCAUCCAUCUUUGCCGAGAGCGCCGUUAGGCUCUCGGCAAAAUCAGCUCUUUGCCGAGAGCCAGGUUCUAGGGCUCUCGGCAAACAUAUAUAUAUAUAUUUUUUAGCCACCAAAAUUUUUCUUUAUGCUCCUUAGUUUGAGUUAUCCAAUAUAUUCAAGUUUGGUUUAGUUUUAUCAUUAUUUGCUAUAUUUUAUGGUUUUUUGUUCAUUUCAUUAAAUUUCUUGAAAAAUGUAGGUUUGAACUGCGAGUGCAUGAAAUAACGCAUUUUUUGGCAUGAAAUGUUGAUAUUCAUGAUACUAACCCUAAUUCGAGGCCGUGUGCACGCAAAUACCCUAGCACUCGCACGUUUAUUUCGCAAAACGUGACUUUGAUGAUGGUGGCGAACAUAUUUCAAAUUAUAGAAAAUUCAAACGAGUUCAGAAAAUCGCGAAACUUGGUGAAGUCUCAUGAUAUCACAUGUAUAGUUUGUGGUAAAAUUUUGAGAAAGUUUCGUGUACGGCGUCAUAUACUAUGUUUAGAAACCCAGACAUCUCGUUGAAGAAAUAUUUGAAAUUUCAUUCUAUGGUCGCACAAAUCUUCGUGCUAUCAUAUUCAAAUGCCAUUGGUUUGAUCCUACAAUAACGAGAAAGACCCCUCAUCUCGGCCUUGUCAAAAUUCGACAGGAUUCUACCUAUCUAGGAGAAGAUGUGUAUAUUGUGGCGUCACAGGCCACACAGGUUUAUUAUCUGUCCUAUGCUUGCCAAACCAAUGAUGAUCUCAAGGGUUGGUACAUUGUGCACAAGGUAUCGCCACACGGCCGACUACCUAUACCAAACGAUGAAGAUAACAACUUCAACCCAAACACGUAUGAAGGAGAGUUCUUUCAAGAACAGGAGCUAGAAGGGAGGUUGGUGAUAGACUUAACUGAAGCGAUAGGAAUGGAUGUGGUUAUGGUUGAUGAUGAUGAUGCGGGUUAUGAGGUGCGAAACGCAAAGGACUUACAAAUGCUUGAUCGAUUACGUGAAGGCAAUGACAACGACGACACUUCUCCUUCGGAUAAUGAUGAUUACUUCGAUAAUGUUGAUAGUGAUAAUGAGAGUUAUGAUGGUACAUGUAAAACUUUCUAAUUUUGUUGUACAUGCAAAUACUUUAUAAUUUUGUAAUACAUGUCAUACUUUAUUUAUUAUGAAUGUAUAUCUAAUUGCUUCUUUAUUCCUUUGAACUGUAGGUCAUUGAACAAAGAUGGUGGGUGGCCGUCAGAGGAGCGUGGCGUUGCUCUUCCGGAGGACGCAUCCUGUAGUUGAAGAGGAGGUUCCAGAGCCGUCUCAGAGGAGGCGUGGAUGCAGGAGCCGCCAGCCGGUGCCGCCUCCUCCUGUGACGCCUCCUGUAGAGGAGGAGGAGGAGGAGGACGAGGUGGAGGAGGAGGCAGGUGCCGAGAGGGUCCAGGAGGAGGAGGAGGAGGAGGAGCAGCAGGAGGAGGAGGAGGAGGUAGGGGCCGAGGGCAGGACUGGAGGUAGCACUUCCUCGACUACGUCGAGUGUCUACUUGCGAGGACCCGCGUCCCUCCCUCAGCCACCACACCCAGCCCUACGUGCUGUGAUUCGUCCUGAGGGGACUAAGUAAGUUACUUACAUACUAUUACUACUUCCUAUGGUAUGUUGAUCAUGGAGAUAUAAACUUAAAUGUUUUCUUAAUGACUUUUGCAGGAACUGGACUAUUGUGUCAGGGGCACGUGGUGGCACUCGCCAUGUCAACAGCAUCCUAGGUCUCUUAUGCAGGGAACACUUCCCUGGAAUUGUCAGGUUCGCGGGGAAGGAGGAGCCAGCCUACACGUUUGCUCACUAUGCGGCUGCCACUGACACGCAAGAAGGCAAUGUGGCCAAUAAGGUUAUCAAGGAGUUCUGGGUAAGUCUUCCUCGCACUACAAGUCUGAAUACACUGCAUCUUUGGUCUAUCAUUGCAAUAAUGCCGUGUCUAUAUGCAGCGCCACUUCAAACUCGAGGAUGGAAUUGACCAGGACUAUGCUGACACCGUGGUUGCCGCGUCUGCAAGGACGCGCAUCAGUGAGAUGCACUACGAUGUGCGCGUCCAGACCGUCAUCAACUACUAUGCGACGAGGCUUGGACAGAGGAAGACCAAGGUGGAGGCAAGGGAAAUAGAUUUGACCCGUGAGCAGUACAUGGAUGAAGAGGUAGAUUCUCAUAUUGAUUCCUUAUUAGCCUUUUAUCAGUACAUUGUUUCAUAUUCUUAUAUGUAUCAUACUUGAUGUGAAGAUGAGGGCCUGGUGGUGCGCCAACUGUCCUGACGCCUAGGAGGCGAUGGUGGACAAGUGGCUAGACCCCAUGUUUCAUGAGGCGCACAAGGCGGCCCAGGAAAGGCGUCGACGGAUGCCUGGUGUAGCACACCAUCAGGGGAACCGCAGCCUCUCUGGAUACGCACAAGCAUGGGUACGUGGUAAUGUUUCAAUUCAUUCAAUUAUGCCUCAUUUGUAACCCUGUUGCUGUCUUUCUCGUAGUCGGUGGCACACGGGGGACAGCCUUGCUCCUUGUUCGCCGCGUAUGGCAUGUCCCACAAGGGCCCGGCGUCGUCCGACGUCUCCUUCAGCGUGGACGACCCGCUCGAGGCGUACACCAACGCGGGCGUCUACGACAAGGUCACCGCCUACGCGCAGGCGGCAAGGCAGGUCCAUGGCCCGGACUACGAUCCAUCCACCGAUGACAUUGAUGGAGACCUUGUCAUGAGGAUAGGAGGCGGCAAGAAGCAUGGGCGCUACUGGAUUGGCAAUAGCAUCAUCGACAGGUCGACUACUCCCACCCUCUCCCAGAUCCGAGCAUCGACCACGAGCGUGAGCAACCGCCCACCCAUACGCCCACGGCCGGAGCCGGUACAGCACCAGGUCGACACACUCCAGGUUGUUCAUCAUUUUUCAAUAGUUCUACUUCGCAUUGCUUUUGUUACCUUUGCAUUACUGACAUUUGAUUUAAAAUGUUGUAGGCUAAGCUCGAAGCAUCAAGGGCCGAGCAGCAGAGGAUGGUCGAGCGGUUGGUGGCUCAAGAGCGCCAGCGAGAGGCCGACCAGCUUGCCCAUUAGCAGCAGAUGGCAGAAAUGAUAGCGUUCCUGCAGUCGGUUGGGGCCCAGACGGGUGUAGCCCUGCCAGCUACGCUACUGGCUCCACGUCAACCCCCGCAUGUAUUUACUACUCCUAUUAAUACUCCUGUGAGGAAACUGAAAGACACAAGUAAGCCCUAAAGUAGUUAUUGCCAUCAUCUUAUCUAAUAAACUAUGUUCUCCUUUAUGCAGCCUCCGUCGGGGGGUUCGAACGUGGCACCUGUCAUUUCUCCAACACCUGGAAUCUCGCCGACACCUCCAGAUGGUGGCUCUCCUGCGGUACGAGGCCUAGGUGUCCCUCAUAUCAAUUGGGGGGCUUCACAGUGAUGCACAUAUUUUGUUUAAACAUGUGAACUUUGUGGAUUGUGUAUUGAACAUGUUGGAUUUAGUUUGGAUGUAUGUGAACUGAGUUUGGAGUAUUUGGACUUGUUAUGAUGGACAAAGUGAUGGAAAUGAUAAUUUAUGUGGAUUAUGUGGUAUAUAUUGUUAUCGAUGUCGAAUAUGUGAGCUAUAGGCUCUUUGAUGUGAAAUAUAUGAUUUUCUAGAAAUAUAUGUGUCAUAUGAUCAUCUCAGUGGAAAUUGGAUGAAAAAACAGGAAAAAAAAUAUUUUGGUCGAUUUGCCGAGAGGCGCUCUCGGCAAAGCUGAAAAAGUGGUAGAUUUGCCGAGAGAGGCUCUCGGCAAAGCUGAAAAAAUGGUCGAUUUGCCGAGAGUCUGGGCCAGGGCUCUCGGCAAAGGAGCUAUCUGCAUGGCCAAAAAUAGCCGGCUUUGCCGAGAGCCCUCCUGGAGGCUCUCGGCAAAGAGGUUUUCCAAAAAAAAAUUAUUACUUUGCCGAGAGCCCUCCUGCCAGCUCUCGGCAAAGACCUUUUCCAGAAACACAAGGACUUCCUACGAUCGCAAUUCCCAGAGAAGAAUGAAGCUUGGUUUAUGCGUCAGCACAUAGACACUUUCAGUGAUUGGUUACGAAAAGAUUGUCAGGGUAAUGACCAGAUUGAUGAGCAACUGUAUUUGUUGGCUAGGCAAGCAUCAUGGCACAUCCUCACAUACAAAGGGUACGAGAUAAAUGGAAAUACAUUUUACACCCUAGGCCAAGAUAAAAGAAGCAUGAACCAAAAUAGUGGAGUUCGCGUAGACGCCAUAGACCCGAAUGGAAACAGACAAACAUAUUAUGGCCGUAUAGAGGAGAUUUGGGAACUAGACUACGCACCUAAUUUUAAAAUUCCUUUGUUCCGGUGCCAAUGGGUGAAGGUUACCGGAGGCGGGGUGACAGUUGACAAAGACUAUGGAAUGACAACAGUGGACCUCAACAAUAUUGGUUACAAAGAUGAACCGUUCGUCCUUGCUGCUGAUUCUAAUCAGGUGUUCUAUGUGAAAGACAUGUCUACAAAACAGAAGAGAGGGAAAAAUGACAACAAAUGAACAAACGAGCCAAAACGCCAUAUAGUUCUCUGAGGGAAAAGAAACAUUGUGGGAAUUGAGGACAAGUCAGAUAUUUCAGAAGAUUAUGAAAGGGAUGACCGAAUCACUCCUUUCAAUGUGACCAAAGAUCCGAGUAUACUGUUAAAUGCUGAGGACACUCCAUGGUUACGUCAAGAUCAUGACCAAGGAACAUACGUCAAAAAGAAGAUCACUAUUGUGCCCGCCUAAUAAAUAGAUUGCAAUAUAGUAUGUGUAUGUGACAAUUGUAACUUAAGAUGUUUAUAUUAGUUUUUCUUAUUUUAUAUCAUUUAAAAUAGUGAAAUGACAUUUAAGUUUGCUAUUAUAAGAGAUGUGUCAAUUAUUUGUCAAAUGCAAAAAUAGUCAAACUUGGUCAAACUUGGUCAAAUGACAAACUAAAUUACUUAAAAUGAAAAAACUUUGAAUACCAAGUUGUUAGAUAUCAUCAAGAUCUAAACUUUUUAUAUAGACAAUUUUUCCAUUUGAGAAAGUUUAAGUUCACAAUACCCACCAAUUCUUGAAUCUCACACAAACUAUAUGAAACUACAUGUGUCAAUUGUGGAUUUUGAACUACACCUUCGCAACACUUUGUCAAAUGCAAAAAUAGUCUAUAUAUUAAAUGUAGAUUUUGAUGAGUGGAACAAUAUUGGUAUUCAUGACUUUUCCGUUCGAGACCAUCUAGGGUUCCGAAAACCGAUGCGUGGCUAUGAAUUCUAUCAAAAUUCAAAAUUGAGUGGUUCAAACUUUUCCAAAAGAAAAGUUGACCAUUAGACAAAAUGUAGAACUUGAUGAGUGCAACAAACUUUGUAUUCAUUACUUUUCCAUUUGGGACCAUAUAGGGUUCGGUCAAAGUGUGUGUUUCUAAAAACCAAUGCUUUGACUUUGGUCAAACUUGGUCAAAUGACCCAUUUGAUGUCUUGAAAUGAAAAAAAUUUGAAUACAAAGUUGUUAGAGAUCAUCAAGAUCUACAUUUGAUAUAUUGUCCAUUUUUCCAUUUGGAUAAAUUUGAGCCAAUCCUAAGCACAUUUGUUCAAAAUCCAAGACGGGUAUUGGUCAAAUGACAAACUAAAUUACUUAAAAUGAAAAAGUUUUGAAUACCAAGUUGUUAGAUAUCAUCAAGAUCUAAACUUUUUAUAUAGACAAUUUUUCUAUUUCAGAAAGUUUAAGUUCACAAUACCCACCAAUUCUUGAAUCUCACACAAACUAUAUAAAACUACAUGUGUCAAUUGUGGAUUUUGAACUACACCUUCGCAACACUUUGUCAAAUGCAAAAAUGGUCUAUAUAUCAAAUGUAUAUUUUGAUGAGUGGAACAAUAUUUGUAUUCAUGACUUUUCCGUUCGAGACCAUCUAGGGUUCCGAAAACCGAUGCGUGGCUAUGAAUUCUAUUAAAAUUCAAAAUUGAGUGGUUCAAACUUUUCCAAAAGAAAAGUUGACCAUUAGACAAAAUGUAGAACUUGAUGAGUGCAACAAACUUUGUAUUCAUUACUUUUCCAUUUGGGACCAUAUAGGGUUUGGUCAAAGUUUGUGUUUCUAAAAACCAAUGCUUUGACUUUGGUCAAACUUGGUCAAAUGACCCAUUUGAUGUCUUGAAAUGAAAAAAAUUUGAAUACAAAGUUGUUAGAGAUCAUCAAGAUCUACAUUUGAUAUAUUGUCCAUUUUUCCAUUUGGAUAAAUUUGAACCAAUCCUAAGCACAUUUGUUCAAAAUCCAAGACGGGUAUUGGUCAAACUUGGUCAAAUGACAAACUAAAUUACUUAAAAUGAAAAAAUUUUGAAUACCAAGUUGUUAGAUAUCAUCAAGAUCUAAACUUUUUAUAUAGACAAUUUUUCCAUUUGAGAAAGUUUAAGUUCACAAUACCCACCAAUUCUUGAAUCUCACACAAACUAUAUGAAACUACAUGUGUCAAUUGUGGAUUUUGAACUACACCUUCACAACACUUUGUCAAAUGCAUUGGUCUAUAUAUUAAAUGUAGAUUUUGAUGAGUGGAACAAUAUUGGUAUUCAUGACUUUUCCGUUCGAGACCAUCUAGGGUUCCGAAAACCGAUGCGUGGCUAUGAAUUCUAUCAAAAUUUAAAAUUGAGUGGUUCAAACUUUUCCAAAAGAAAAGUUGACCAUUAGACAAAAUGUAGAACUUGAUGAGUGCAACAAACUUUGUAUUCAUUACUUUUCCAUUUGGGACCAUAUAGGGUUUGGUCAAAGUGUGUGUUUCUAAAAAAACAAUGCUUUGACUUUGGUCAAACUUGGUCAAAUGACCCAUUUGAUGACUUGAAAUGAAAAAAAAUUUGAAUACAAAGUUGUUAGAGAUAAUCCGAUGUAAUGGUGAAUAUUGUUGUAAGCAUAAAUAAAUAAGAAAUAGAGAAAAUUUUUUAAAAAAUAAUCUGAUGUAAUGGUGAAUAUCACGUAUAUCAUGAUUUUGGAGAUAAAUGAUGAUAAAUAAACAAAAUUUACGUUUAAAUAUUGCACAAACAAAUUUUUCUAUCAAAAACAUCUGCUUUAAGAUAUUAAAAUUAAAUAAUACAUUUUUGCAUUAACAAAAUACUAAUUAUUUUUAAUAUUUAAGUUUGUUAAUAUAAGUGAUGAAAAGAUUUUAUGUUUCCAAAUUGAUUAUGUAACCAAUUAGACAAAAAGAAAUGGAACUAUUAUUUUUUAACAAAUUAAUACCUAUUAUUAUAUUUACUAUGCAAUUAACAACAUUAAUCUAAUUAUUGUAUGUAUAAAUAAAUAAGAAACUGAAAAAUACAUUUAGUCCCGGUUAGAACCGGAGCCUGUAGUCCCGGUUCUAUCCAGGAGCCGGGCCUUUAGUCCCGGUGCGUAGGACCAACCGGGACUAAAGACCCUUUAGUCCCGGUUGGUGCUACGCACCGGGACUAAAGUCCCCGCGUGUAUAUAAGAAAACAGUCGUCUUCCUCCUCGAUCCAGUUCGACUGAGCCCUAGUUUUCCUCCGCCGCGCGCCGCCGUCGCCUCGCACCCUUGUCCCCGGCCGAGUGCCGCCGUCGUCUCGAGCCCAGGAGCGCCGCCGCCGCCAACGCCGCCACCCCUCGUCCCCAGCCCGAGCCGAGGACAGUACGGAGCGCCGCGUCGAGCUGGUUUUCCUCCACCGCGCGCCGCUCCCCGCCGUCGCCUCGCACCCUUGUCCCCGGCCGAGUGCCGCCGUCGUCUCGAGCCCAGGAGCGCCGCCGCCGCCAACGCCGCCACCCCUCGUCCCCGGCCCGAGCCGAGGACCGUACGGAGCGCCGCGUCGAGCUCCGACGACCCUUCUUCUUCUACGCGCAGCAUCGACGACCCUCGUCCUCGGCCCGAGCCGAGGACGUACGGAGCGCCGCCACCGCCGAGCUCCUUGCACCGACCCUCGUCCCUGCAGGCCGAGCCGAGGACCCUCCUUGCGCCGCGCCGAGCUUUGAUCUUCUCCGGCCGGCACCGAGCUAGCAGUUAUUGUCGUUUCUGGCCAUGUUUACUUGUAAAAAAUUAUACAAAUUGUGAAAAGUGUGAUUAGUUAUUUUUUUACCUAUAUACAAAUUGUUUGUUUUUUUCUACAAGCAAAAUGUGAACAGUGUGAACAGUGUGGCAUGUUUUUUUUUCGUCUCGCGAAUUACAUAUAUACAAACUGUGUAAUUGGUUAUUUUUUUACCUAUAUUUAAGACUUUAUGCAUGUGCCGCAAGAUUCGAUGUGAUAGGGAAUUUGAAAUAUUUUCCAAAAUAUUUGGGGAAGUAAACAAGGCCUUAGUCCCAAUUUAAAGGCACAAUCGUCGCACUUUCGUUUGUUUGAUAAAUAUUGUUAAGCGAAGUUACAAAUUUUUAUGAUAAAGGCACAAAUCAUAUAAUUGCUUGAGAAAUAAAUACUAUUAACUUGGUUAAAUUUGAAUUAGUUUCAUCGACACAAAUCACAUAAUUGCAUUCUUUUAUGGACGAAGAGAGUAUAUUAUAUUAUAUUAUAUUAUAUUAUAUUAUAUUAUAUUAUAUUAUAUUAUAUUAUAUUAUAUUAUAUUAUAUUAUAUUAUAUUAUAUUAUAUUAUAUUAAUUAUAUUAUAUAUUUACAAUAUAUUCCCAAAAUUGAUAUACAUAAAGUCUUUUGCCAAAAAUAAUAUAUUCCCAAAAUUGAUAUACAUAAAGUAUUUUGCCAAAAAUAAUAAAAUGGACGAAGAGAUGUAUAAUUUCUAUUUUAUAAUUUAUCUUUUGUAUUAUAUAAUUUAUAUGAUAUAAUUUAUCCUGUGUUGUAAUUAGUUAGUAGGGAUAGAUAUUGAGAUGAGAUGUAUAAUUUCUAUUUUAUAAUUUAUCUUUUGUAUUAUAUAAUUUAUAUGAUAUAAUUUAUCCUAUGUUGUAAUUAGUUAGUAUGGAUAGAUAUUGAGAUGAGAUGUAUAAUUUCUAUUUUAUAAUUUAUCUUUUGUAUUAUAUAAUUUAUAUGAUAUAAUUUAUCCUGUGUUGUAAUUAGUUAGUAGGGAUAGAUAUUGAGAUGAGAUGUAUAAUUUCUAUUUUAUAAUUUAUCUUUUGUAUUUUAUAAUUUAUAUGAUAUAAUUUAUUCUAUGUUGUAAUUAGUUAGUAGGGGUAGAUAUUGAGAUGAGAUGUAUAAUUUCUAUUUUAUAAUUUAUCUUAGUUGUUGUAUCGAAUAUUGUCUAAGUUUAGCCUAUCCAAAUAAGUUUUAUUGAUCGCGUCAAAAACUUUUAACACUUGAUUAAAUUUGCAGAAAUGGCCAAUCCGAAUGACAACAUGGAUGAUGCAAUGAUGGACCUAAUCAACAGCAGUGCCAAUCCAGAUCCCCAAGGCGAAGAUGAUGGGAGUCAGUACUUUGCUGAUUAUGAAGAACUUGUGGAAGACAAUCCUGAUCAUGUCUAUCUACAAUCUAGUAUAUAUGUAUAUAUAUGAAAUUAAAAUAAAUGACAUUUAUACUAAUAUAUUUAUACUUGUUUGUGUAGCCCUCUAAAUCGGCGACAACUUCUGAAAGGAGUAGAAAAGUGCGUGGCCCGAAGAAGCCGUUGGAGGGUCGGUACAUUCUGUCGAAAUUCGAUGAGGGUAGAGGACAAGUACUUGGAGCUAAUUCUAAAAAAUUUAUUGCGCACUGUGGCUACCUUGUAAGGGACAGGCUCCCGGUCAGUGCUCGUGAAUGGAGGCAACACAAAGAUAACCCUAAUAUUAGUUUUGUCUCAGAUCGUGACAAGGAAUUGAUUUGGCAAGAUAUCCUUCAACAUUUCACGCUCGAUACACAGGAUAAAGCUUUGAAGGAGAAGGUUAAAAUCUGGGCUAUGCAGAAGAUGGCCAAACAAUUUUAGGCUUGGAAGAAGACAUUAUACAAGACUUUUGUUGCACAAGGCCGGACACCAGAUUUCACCAACAAGGCCUACGUCAAGUUGAGGCCUUUUUGGGAUGAGUUCGUAGAGUUUAAGAACUCAGAAGAGGGUAAGGCACAGAUGAUCAAGAAUCAAGAAAAUGCUAAACAAAAGCAAUACCACCAUCACUUGGGUUCAGGUGGCUACAGGACUGCUAUUCCUAAGUGGCAAAAGCUGGAACAGGAGAUUCUUAGGAGAGGGAUCGAACCAGAAUCAAUGCACUGGCCCGAGCGCACCAAGUAUUGGUUCUUUGGUCAUGGGGGAACCACAGACCUAGAGACCGGAAAGAUAGUGUACGGCGAAAAGCUCGAGAGAGUAGGACAGAGAAUGGCCUAUGCUAGAGGAUUAGUUGAAAGCAGCACCUGGCAGCCAAAUAGAGAAAAGGAUGAGCUGACAUACGCCCUGGAGACUGCUGAACACGGUGGGCGAACCAGAGGCUAUGGGGAGGUAUCAUGGGAGCAUGGCUUUCCUAAAGAUAGACCGACUUAUAGAAGCCGCCAACGAAAGAAGGAAGAGGAAGCAGAGCGGUUGCAUAGGUUGGAGGCAAUGGUGAUUGAGUCACGCGAAGCGGCUCGUGAAGCGAUAGCGCGAGAGAAAGCGCUUGAAGAGAGAAUGAACGAGGAGAUCAAAAGACAAGUGCAGAUUGCAGUAAGUUCUAUACAAGGGCAAACUGCAUCAGAGCCUAGAGUCAACAUUAGCCCCCCCGAUCAGUUGAAAAGUAGUUGCGCUUCCACAGAGAUGCCAACUAUUCAAGACGACGUGGGGCUGCACUUUCCGGUGGAUGACAUCACUAAACCUCUGACAACAUGUGAGCUGCACAUUCCACAGGGGACUGCCACAGUCAUGGUUGCUGUCGGUGUUGUAACUCCUAUCGACCCUACGAGGACACCAAGAAUCCAUGGGGCGAUAGUUCCACCUGGAUAUGCUAGUGUCUCGGUGGAUAGAGUUGUCAAAGGCUUCAGUAAUGUGCAGCUUGAGAUAGAAGGAGGUGAUGGAGAGAAGACUCUAGGAGAAGCAGAGAAGACUUUUAUUUGUUGGCGCAAGCGCUACAUCAUUAUUCCUAGGGCAUCACCUAGUAGUCUAACACCACCUCCUCGUCAUGAAUCUAAUCCUAGGUGCGGAUGAAAAUUGACUAUACAUUUGUUCACUAAAUUUAUUUUGCAUUCCUUAGUUAGCGGUUUACUCAUAAACCUUUUGUUUUCACAGGUGGUCACCGACAUGUCAUAGUGCUGCGGGUGAUGACGAGGGAGUGCAAGACAUGGCUGUAUACAUGAUUAACCCUAAACCUAUACUACAACUCUCACCUAUAGCGUCCUAUAGAUUAAAGUACUCAAAAGUGUUGUGAACCAGAACAUACAUGAUUAGCAAUUGCAUAAUGAAUUAGAAGUAGAUUACCAGAGUCAUCCCAUGAGCAAGCUUGAUUAGAGCUUGAUCAUGACGAAGUACAACCGGAGGAAGAACCGACAGGCCGGCCUCUCCUCCAAUCCUCCCUCGCUCUCCAUCUCGCUACUAUCUAGAUCUACUCUAGUUUAGAGAAGAGAGGAGAGCUCUCAUCUCCAAACCCUAGCUUUUGCUCUGUCUAUGAAUAAUGAAUAGGGAUCAAGGGGUGACUCCUCUAGGGGCCAGGGGGUCUGCUUAUAUAGUCCCCUCAAGUGAAACUGGGCCGUUGGAUCAAACCGACAUUGAUUGAACGGUUAUCCUUGAUCCUUUAGGUCGGUGGAGCGUAAUCCGCGAAACGAGUCCUGAAUGGACUCUGUAGCUGGGCGGGCGCCCAAGGGGGGAGGGCGGGCGCCCUGCCCCCGAGCCCGCUCGACUUCCCGUUCGUUCCUGUGGCUUCUGGAGUCUUCUAGAUGAUAGAAAAUUGUGCGGCACGUUAAUAUCUCUAUGUAAACCCGACGUGGGCCUUUCUUCCAUAUUUCCUGAUAACACCCUGCAGAAAUAGACAAACACCAAAACUCGUGGAAUUCUAUCAGAUAAAUCCCUAAGUCUGGGUGUUGGUUGCAUUUGGAUCCUUUUCUUUGUUUAUUUGAUAAUUAAAUUUGGUACUUAAGGACCGUCAACAACUCCCCCAAGCUUACCUCUUGCUCGUCCCUGAGCAAAGAUGGACUCAAGAGUUUCUGCAGUGGUUUCAUGCCUUAAAGGUACACAUGCGUUCAAACAAGAUCUCAUCUCUGGGUUAGGGUAAACUAUUAAGAUUUAAACUCACUCAUAUUACCUUCCACCAUGGGGCUUGCAACUGUCACUUGUGUCUUGAGCAGUUAAAAGAUAGAACAGUCUAGUCAAGCGCCAUGUCUCUUAUUCUUGAUCAGCUAUAGCUCUUGAGUUUUUGUAGAUUUUCAAAUAAAACUCAGAGAUUCCUUGUAUGACUCUCUCUAGUCUCUCUUUUGUGGUAUUUCUGGAUCCUUACCAAGACAGUAAUGGUGUAUGCCUUCUCUCAAAGUAUGUGGUAUUUUUGGUAUGAGGCAUAGUGACAUUGCCUUCUCUCUUAUCCUACUCUAAUAAGGCUUUUAUAUCUGGAGCUCAUAGGUGGGAGAUAAAGUAUACAUACUUAUAAGACAUUUAUUGCAUAGUCAAACCAUGGAUCUAGAGAAACAAGUCAAUAAGUCAAUAUCAAGAUGUGCAUGUGUGGCGAAUGAAUGGUGUAUGGUGGUAACAAUUGUGGAAGUCUAAUUCUACUUUUGCUCUUUUGAGGGGAUACAUACCUUUCUUGCACUUAGAAGAUUUUUGAGGGGGAAUGAGAUGCUCUAUAUUUUCUUUUUCUUUUCUCUCGGGUGGGUAUCCUGUACCCCUAAUUCUACUGUCGGACACUUGUCCAUUUUUACCUCUCGUCUCACUUUUUCUUCUCUUCGAGGUUCCGGGCACUUGCCCUUUUUUAUUUCCUCGUAUUCACUUUUUUUUCUCUCUUUCUUUUAGAGCACUCACCCUCCUAGAAUAAUGUAGCAAGUGGUAGUAACCAAAAUAUCUUGAGCAUUUAUUUCACGGGGAAUAACAGGGAUAUGAUAAUGUUUUUCGCUAUUCUCUCCUGGAUAGGAGUAGAAUAAUUUUGGGUGAAUCUGAGAGAUGGAAAUGAGUGGAUGUAUGUGGAUGCGUACUUCCGGAGUAGAAGCAGCAUGUAUGAGUGAACGUGCAAGUGAAUCUUGAUUUUAACCGCAUGACAAGCUCCUAAGGGUCUACACAACUUGACCACACUCAAUGCUCAUAAGCAGUAAAAAGUAAAUAUAUGGUUCAUAGUCUAAUAAGCAUGUAUAUAUGGCUGUGGUAGGAUUUUAAACUCUCAUGAUACAGGAACUCAUCAUGCAACAUUUUAAAGAUUUUCAAAGAUAAAAUUCUCCAGAAUUCUAGCAUCUCUAGGAACAGAUAAACAGCAGCUCAACCUUCCCAUAUCAUAUCCGUUAACGACUUAGACUUUAGAUCAAGUACUCUUCCCACAAGUUUAGGUUUAGAGCAAAUCUUAAUUCAUAACAGUCAUGCCUAAACUUGAGAGAGAAUUCAAUUUUGAGAACUAGUCAUGGCAGAGCAACUAUUCAUCAUUUUCAUGUGAGAGCUUAUCAUGAGGAUUCAUAGCAAACUUUAUUUAUUUAUUUAUUUAGCAAACUAAGCAAAGAUAUAAAUAUAUGUAUAUAAGCACAAAAUCUUUAUUUGGGUUUUUAUGAUUAUGCAUCUUUUUAUUAUUUGAGUAGAGUAUAAACGCGAGUAGAAACACUUAGCUGGAUAAAUGGGGGUGCUCUCCCUCAAGCUGGAUUUUGACCUAAUUUCUUCUGAUGUAGCUAGCAGGUGACGGAGGUGUAUUUGAAUGUCGGCAGCACCCUGACAGCAAUUAGGAUGUCCUCCGUUUGCUAGUCUUCUUUGAUCCUUGAAUUCUGUGGAGCUUAAAUAGACAACAAAGCUUUGUGGAACUGGUUAAGUGUUAGCAUAAAAUCUCUUUGCCUUUAUCAUGUUGAGCUUCCUCUAAUAAAUUUUAUUUAUUUAGUAGGAUCAUGCACUUAUUAUUUUUAUAUUUUUAUUGUAAGAUGAAAGCAUAUUUAUUUUAUGCCACCACAGUCAAUAUACCUAUGGGUUUUAAACCACAAGUAUACUCACAUGGGGCUUACUAUUUCUAACCUUUUUAUUUUCUUUUCAAGAUAGUAUGAUUAACUAACAAGCCAUUUAUGGAAAGUAAAUAAUUUAAGGGAAAAGGGAAUGCAGAAAGGAUAAAUAUGGAUAACUACCGAUUUUACCUUUGGGCGUGGGUUCAAUGUUUUAAGUCUUCUGAACAAGACUUCUCACCAUGUUCAUUCUUUAGUUGCGUCAUUUGAUUCAGGUGUGUACCUUGACGUCUGCACCUCUUGAUACGGUGUCACCCAUGUUCUUCAUUUGCCCAGCAGUUCGAAGUGCGGCGUUGGCAGUAUCUUGCUCAGUGUGUUUGUGCGUGUAGAUCCAGGUUCUUCACUUGGUGGAGUCUGGGAGUUAUAAAACUCCUCCAUAUUUUGCUUGAAGUGUACCUGCUCAUAGAGACAAGGCAGAGAUCAAGUGCAUGGGCCCUGUUGGUGGAAAACACCAACAGAACCAAAAGUGUAUUUGUUCUUCUCUAACCUUAAGCAUAGUGAGCAAGACAAAGUUGAUGGAUGAUAAGUUUAUGAGUGUAGCACUUAUAACAUUUGUCACAUCAGAUCGCUUCAACCUUAUGGAAAGAUAAUCUGUCUAUGUAUAUGUCUUUUUCUUUAUAUCUCUCAAAGAUUGAAUGUGCAACAUUUUAGCUCAUAUGAUUAGGAGUGUGGGAUCACAAAGGUGGAAGGACUAAACAUGUUGAAUCGAUUGGGUUGGUUAACCUAGUGUUGUAAAUCAUACAUGUUUGUCUCUUUUAUUCAUAUGAACACCAGAACCAAGGAGAAGCUUAUAAAAGUGAUAGUUAAGUACCUUAAGAUGUAACCUUACUUGAAGAGUGACGGUACAGUAUCACCUUGUGGAAGCUUUCCUUUCUUAGCGGUUGUGCAUCGUGUUUGUGGCACCCUCCAUGGAUCAUCUCUUAUGAGCUACGUCUUCCUUGUGUAAAUUGUUAAACUUCAUGUGUCUCUCUCCUUGUCUCCAAUGUGAGUUUAUCUCUGGACUUCCCAGGUCGAUAUUGAAAGUUUUCCUGUAGGGGUUAGUCCAACGAAAUAUCCAAUAUCUACUAUAGCAUACUAUCGGCUCAAAAAUCAACCUAGACACCAUGUCUAAUUUGAUUUAGGAGGGCAUUUUCACCUAAGCACCACGUUUAAUUUAAAAUCCCUUGGAAGUAAGAUCAUCAUUCCUAAACUAAGCACCAUGCUUAUUUAAGAGAUAAAUGAAACUACUCCAAACCUAGACAUAUACUAAAGCAAAUAAAGGUAGCAUGAGAGCAUUUAUAGAGAUCUACUCAAGUGGAGAUGAAGUAGUGUGAUUAGUAUUUAACAAAUUGAGCAUGUCUCAAAGGUAGGGACAACCAACAUAGCAACAUGGCAAGGGAUGUUUUUAUGUAAAGUACUCCCCCAAGCUUGAAUUUUGUAAAGUUCAAGUUUGGAUUUAAUGAUGAUUGGUUGGAUAUUUAUCGAAUCUUCUUGCUCCAAUCCUGGAAAGGUUAGUGACAAGAAUACCUGAAGGAAUAUUUUUACAAUUAUCCUUAUAUGCUCAAAACACAAGGUAAUAUUGUUAAUAAUUAAAAGCUCAUGUUACGAUAUGAUCAGUGCUUAUUUUAGGACACUAAGCUUGUCCUUGGGAAACCAUCGAUUUAUGUCGGCGAAGUGGUUUCCCUUCCAACGCUGACCUAUAUCAAGAUCAACUCAAUGAGAUCUGCAAUAUUUAUUAUAGACAUAUGCAUCGACAACCACCCUUUUAAAGUUUUUAUAAAUAGAAAGGAAGAGGGGGUUGGAGAUCUCAAAUGUGGUGAUGUUGGAGAGACCAAUAGAUUGGGAAGAUGUUGCAUAUGAGCAUGGAGUAAACGAAGUGGCUAUGAAAUAAAUUCCAUGCUCAUUAAUGUUAUCUUCGUCUCCAAUCUAAAUGUUCGGAGUUUCUCCUGGAUUGGUGUCACCAAUGUCCUCUUCUGUAGUUGGAUGAAUCACAUCUUCAAAGGGAGUCAAGAACUCACCAUUUGAAAUUGAGCCAAAGUCAGAAUCCAUUAAGGCUUCUUCCUUAUCCAUCCAUUCUACACAUUCUAGCCAUUUAGAACUUGUGAUCAGGAAAGGGGAGGUGUUAAAAUUUUCUAUAUGGCUUAGCUCUCCUUCACUUGAUAUGUCAUCCUCGACUUCUUCAUAACAGGAACUAGGACAUUCUCUAAGAGAACCAUCAUUGCAAGGAUUUGAAUUAUCCCUGCUUGAAGGUCUCUUAUGGAACCAGAAGUCUAAACCAUCAGCAUCUAAAAGAUUUAAGGUUGGAAUUCCUUCCUCCCUUAGAGAAUUUUGGGGUAUUGAUGGGUUAGGAUCGAUAGCUAAAGUUUGGAAUUGAAGUGGCUGUGAUCUGGCUAUCGAAACUUCUUCUUCUUAUCUAGGAACUGAUUCUUUCUCUUUCUCAGGGAUAUAAAUGCUAGGAGACUUUGCACUUAAUGAAUCAAUUAAAUCCCUAGCUUCACUAGCAGGUAGGUGAUAGAAGGAUCCUCUAGAGGCUGUAUUCAAGGUUUGCUUAUUUUCCCUACUAAGGCCCUAAAAAAAGUGAAUUAGAAGAACUUCUUCUCGAAUAGAAAGCUUUGGGCCAGUGAGAGUAAGGUUAAUAAAGCGGUCCCAUGAUUUGCCAAGAGAUUCUUCUUCUAGUUGUCUAAAAGAAAUAAUCUCAGGCCGAAGUUCCGCCACUUUGGAGAUUGGAAAAUAUUUUAAAAGAAAACUAUUAUAUAACUUCUUCCAAUCUCCAUGAACACUCCCUACUUUGAGUUUGUACCAAUGUCUAGCUUUUCCCGUUAAAGAGAAUGGAAAGAGCUUCCAUUUAAGGGACUCAUCGGACAUGCCUUCUAUGCGAAGGAGGUCACAGAGUCGAUAAAACUCUCUUAGGUGUGUGUAUGGGUUUUCUUCACCUUCUCCUGAGAAAAGUUGUUUUUGAACAAAUUCUAUAUAUUCGGGGUCUAUCUCAAAACUAGAUGCUAUGAUAGGCUUUGAAGAUUUUGGUGGUUCGAGAUGUGUGCCCGUAGGUCUAUGAAACUGAUAGAUAGACAUGUUUGCAUUCAUGAUAGACCAGAGAUCAAGGAUUAGAUAAGAAGAAAGAAUAGCAAAGAUAAGACAAAAGAUAAAAGGAAAAGUAUAUAUAUCUAUAUUUUUUAUUUUUUUUAGAAAAUGAUUAAGCUAGUUCGUAGUUAACUCAGCAACCGUUUCUCCGGCAACGGCGCCAAAAAUGCUUGUUGACACUUGCUAACACCACUUGAAUACUAGGUUGUCAUCCCCAGCAUGGCACUAGAGUGUACUAUGGUAUUUAUACGCACACAGAUAAAUCCGCAAGCGCACGGAUACCGUUGUAGCUUUUAGCCGGUUAAAGGUUUUAUCGUAUCCACAGGGAAACGGGAGAACCAACUACGCUCUAACUUAACCAAGAUAGAUAGAUAGGUGUAAAUAGGAAAGAUGGUAGAAUUGAAUAAGAACAAUAUUAAAGGUAAGAUAACAAUGGAUUAUAAUAUGGGAAUAGAGAGUAGAGCAAUCUACUAUAUGGGCGAUGGUAGGAGAAUAGAGAGGAUAACUAUGGUUUCUCUACUUCAAAGGGGUAUGUCUAUAUCUGGGACGAUCCACGUGAUAAGAAUACACCACAAAGGAUGCUUAUCUAUAGGCCGAUAAACCCUACCCGUCCUGCUAACAAGAGGUGGACUACAGGGGACCAACGUAACUGUCACCUACGCGGCCUACCACACGAUCCAGCUAGACAGGGGAUAUCCACAAGUAAUCUAGGUCUAAGCACCACGCUUACACCUAUACUACAACUCUCACCUAUAGCGUCCUAUAGAUUAAAGUACUCAAAAGAGUUGUGAUCCAGAAUAUACAUGAUUAGGAAUUGCAUAAUGAAUUAGAAGUAGAUUACCAGAGUCAUCCCAUGAGCAAGCUUGAUUAGAGCUUGAUCAUGAUGAAGUACAACCGGAGGAAGAACCGACAGGCCGGCCUCUCCUCCAAUCCUCCCUCGCUCUCCAUCUCGCUACUAUCUAGAUCUACUCUAGUUUAGAGAAGAGAGGAGAGCUCUCAUCUCCAAAUCCUAGCUUUUGCUCUGUCUAUGAAUAAUGAAUAGGGACCAAGGGGUGCCUCCUCCAGGGGCCAGGGGGUCUGCUUAUAUAGUCCCCUCAAGUGAAUCUGGGCCAUUGGAUCAAACCGACAUUGAUUGAACUGUUCUCCUUGAUCCUUUAGGUCGGUGGAGCGUAAUCCGCGAAACGAGUCCUGAUUAGACUCUGUAGCUGGGCGGGCGCCCAAGGGGGGAGGGCGGGCACCCUGCCCCCGAGCCCGCUCGGCUUCCCGUUCGUUCCUGUGGCUUCUGGAGUCUUCUAGAUGAUAUAAAAUUGCGCGGCACGUUAAUAUCUCUAUGUAAACCCGACGUGUGGGCCUUUCUUCCAUAUUUCCUGAUAACCCCCUACAGAAAUAGACAAACACCAAAACUCGUGGAAUUCUGUCAGAUAAAACCCUAAGUCUGGGUGUUGGUUGCAUUUGGAUCCUUUUCUUUGUUUAUUUGAUAAUUAAAUUUGGUACUUAAGGACCGUCAACAUUCAGUUCAGAUUGGGGAUGGCAUGAGCACGAUAUUCUGGCAUGAUCGAUGGCUCAGCAUUGGGCCGUUGCGCUCCUUCGUCCCGCUCCUCUACAACGCCAUCUCGAGAGAUGGGCACGAGCGGUCGGUUUGGGAUGCUUGCACAACGGCAAUGGGUUAGAGAUAUUGUUGGGCCUAUGACAACCCAAGUGUUGUGUUAGUAACAUCAAGACAUGGCUGUUGGUUUGGGAGACCGCCCUGGAUCCCUUGCGGUCAGAUCGUUUCAUCUAGAAAUGGUCGCUGGAUGGAAACUACUCCCUUUGUCCCUUUUUAAUUGUCGUAGUUGGUGUGCGUGCCAUAAGUUUGACUCGAUUUGUAGAAAAUACGUGCAACAUUUGUAUCUCCAAAUAAAUUUGUUAAAAAACUAGAUCCAAAGAUCUUUCUAAUGAUACUAAUUAUGUAUUAUAAAUAUUAAUAUUUUUUAAUAUAUAAUUCCCGGUAGUUGUUUUUUGGAUAUCGCAAGCGAUAAUUAAAAAGGGACGGAGGGAGUACUCCAUGUCUUCCACCUACUGAGCCUUCUCCGUCGGCUCGAUCGAGCUGCUGGGUGCCAAGGAGCUUUGGCACAUGAGAGCGCCACCGAAAGUGAAGCUAUUUUUCUGGUUUGCUUUGCACAACAUGUUAUGGACUACAGAUAGGCGUAAGCGACAUGGUUUGCAGGACGAUGAUUGUUGUGCCUUGUGUUGUCAAGAACCCGAGACGGGUACUCACCUCUUCUCAGGCUAUGUGGUGACCAAAGAAAUUUGGUUGCAUGCCUUGCAUGUCUUGCAAGCCGUCGACCUCCACCACAUCUUGGUGGAUUUGGGUGUUGGUAAGCCGGUGGAGUUGUGGCUACAGCACAUGUUACAGUUUCGGGAGCAAUAGUGGCGGAGUUCGAUUCUCUGGUCCUCCUUUUCUCCUAAGAGAUAUGGAAGGAGAGGAACGCGCGGACCUUCAGAAAUGAGAGUUCCACUCCUUUGGCCAUGGCACAGCGUAUCCAUGAUGAACGUGCGCAGUGGAUCGACACCGGUUUUUCUACACUAGCCUCCUUUUGGACGUCCGCUGGUGUUGUUGGCUUGGUCGCACAAUCGACCACCGUAAAGUAGUUUUGGGUUUUUCCUUGUUUUGGUUUGUUGGCCUCGCUAAUGUUUCACUUGCUACUCGCAAACGAUCUAGUAGUGGGUCUAACAAUCGGUUGUAAAAGUAAACUUCUUUUGUCUUAAUGAAAUACGGGCUCAACCCUUGUUCACGAAAAAAAGAUAGAAUCAUGUGUAACUCCGUGCUCUUUAUUAUUUGCAUGUCUCAAAUUAGCUCAGGGUCAUCAUUAAUGUUUUCAUUAGAGGUUAGGCUGCAAUUUUAUUUACAUUAUUGGAAAAACAUAAUCAUGGAAACUUGUAAAAUGGUCCAAUAAUGUUUAGUUUGGAUGCCUUGGGUUGUUUGAUCGUCCUAAUUUGGAUCACAGAUGUGUUUAUUAUUAUAGGUAUAUGCACAUCACAGGUUGGUUAGGUAUCAUGUACACGAAAUGGACAUCUUCCUUCGAGAUUCAUUUGAUGCAGCAGAGGGGCAGAGCCUAUGUACAAAAAUGUAUCUCAUUAGGAUGCAUUACACAAACAAGCAUGUAUUUGCGACCAGUGGGUGACUCAAUACUGUCAUAUGGCAACAGUAACUGCUGGAUUUUCUGCAACUGCAAAUGACGCCUAGCGCCCUAGCUCCGAAACUUGGUAGAGUACACACUAGGAUUUUCUGCAACUGGCCGAAUGCACAUGUGCACAAGCAGAACGUGUAGGAAUGAGGACCAGGAUAAAUAAAUAAUUUACACUCGUGGAAAUGGUAACAAGUCAGGUUCGUUGUACACAAAUUUUGUCCGCAAUAUUCUUAGGAACAAUAAAAAUAAUAAUUCACACUCGUGAAAAUGGUAAAAAGUAGGUUUUAGGGGACUCUUAAACACACUGACACACAACACAGUAGCCCCAUAUCAGACCCUCUUAUUUCAGGCACACAUAAGGAUACAGUAGCACACCGAUUGAAUUGGUAGAUGCAGUGGCACCAUGCAGACACACCAACUUAUUAUUGUUUAUAUGGAGAAAACACACUUUCACAAGCUUGGCCAACAAACACGAGGAGACAGAAGCAGGCCGUCUCCUCGAUUAUCCCAUCAUCAAAUCUACAUAGUUGAUGAUGAUAUAUACAAAUGAUUAGUGCUGGAACACAAAGUAAAGAUAAAUGAGGGAAAAAAAUUACAAAGCAGAGAGAGUAUGUUGCUCAUGUGUAUGUACCUGGAUGAUGCAAGCGAUCAGCAGUAAGCACCCAAGGUUGGCUACUCAUCGAAGCACUGCACCUCUCAGCAUCUGCUUCUUGUAAUAUGAUGAGUGGCUCGGCGCGAAGAGGGAGGGGUGGUGGCCAAAAUCCAACCCAUCCCACUCCAGACUGUCCCACCAGUCCUUCUCGCAGUCCACGACGACACGGAGAGCAUUGUGCCGACGGUGUUUGGUGGCCGGGAGACGCUUCAGGCCCCAGCAGCCCCUGAGACGGACUGUCUCGAGCUUGGGAGCAAAUAUUUUUGCCUCGCAUAUCUGUCUCAGGCUGGAGAGAUGAUACAGAUACAAGUCCUUGAGCAUUGGGAAUUCCAGCAUGCCAUUUGGAUGCUUGGUAGCUAUUUCAUUUAGGAACUCUGCCUCCACUGGGAAAACCUGCCUGAGAUCACUGCAUUCGAUUAUGUGGAGAGUCUCCAGGCUGGACAAGGUAUAGAACCAUGACAAUGGGAGGACGAAUCUGAGCCUGGGGCACCGAUACAGAUGGAUAGCCCGGAGUUUUGCAAAGGAAUCAGUGUCCCUUCCUAUGUAUAUCCUUCCUCUGCUCCAGAUAGAGCUGGCCAUCAAGAGAUCAGCAACCCAAAUGGUCUCUAGUUCCUUAAAGCAGUAGAUAUUGUAGUUUGUAGUGAAGACAGUUUUCAACUUGGGGCAGCUCUGCACAUGGCACCACUUCAAAGCAUCCCAACUAAUUUUGUCUUCUCCACUAGACAACAUGCGUUCAGGGAUCACAGUGGUAAUUGAAGAAUUGUUGCACAUGUGGAAAGACUGGACUUUAUUCAUCACAAAGAUUAUUGCCCUUAUACCUCGGGAGUCAAGCACAUUGAUGUCGACCAGUUCCUGUCCCAUCUCAACAUGGAUGCCUUGUGGCUCAAACUGCAGAACACCACUAUCAUCAUCAUUUUCAGUAACUAUAUGAUUUAUGCUGACGUCAUUGUAGGUGCUGUAUGUCUUGUGGAUGAAUGACUUGGGUGCAGACUCAACUAUUUGUCCAGUACUAUAAAAAUGGCGGUCCAUCUUCUUACUGUUACAGUUUUCUCCAUCAGCAUUGAUACUACAAGACAGGUACAGAUCCAACUUAAAUGGGGCUGUGCUCCAGCAAAAUGCUUCAGACUCUGUUAGCACCAAUGACGGAAGGAACCUUAUGUCCGUGAUAGAAACAUGUGCAUGACGAUACCCUUCUUUCUGGUGGCAAACAAUAGAAUGGUAUGAAGUUUCUCUAGGCACAGCAACCCCUUGUCGAGUAUCAAUUCGUAGUAACCUUAGUUGUUUCAUUCCAUUUUCUGGCCAAAUAAUAGCACGUAGUUGCUGACAUCCCAUCAGGAAGAUUCGUCCAAGUUUUUUCACUGGGACCACCAUUUUGAGGUUUACAGUUUUUACUGUUGUGCGUGAGAGGUCCAACUCCUCAAGGUUUGGCAAGGAUCCAAGCAGUGUGAAGUCCACCAGUUUUGCACAAUCCACCAAGGUGAUUCGUGAUA
rnacentral:lncRNA from 1 species